AUGUCUCAUCACACGAAGCCCACUUGAAUUAGAGACAUAAUUCACGUUCUUCUUCGUUCCUUAGCCUGGCUUCUUAUUUCCGAAGAUAAAACACUAAACUUGGGAUCUGAAGACCUGGGACCUUUUGCUAAUGCAGCCAGGAUGAGAGCAGCCCUGGACAAGCCACCUGUCCCUCGAUGCCCCCGUUUCCCUGGCUGCGAAAGGGGAAGAAUUACCGUACUGUCUCCCUCUGGGCGAGUUCUCCUGGCUAAGUGAAUGGUGUCUCUGAAAAUGAGCUUUGGAGAGAGAGGCAGUAUUUAGAUGCUUGUUUUGUCUGCUAAUGACUUGAGAAGCUUUUGGGGGAGCCGUUUACUGCCAUCGGAGCCAAACCCAGUUCCUUGCCCUAGUUUCGCAUGUGUAGAAUAAAUGGCCCUUCAAUUCCUUGGGUUCAGUCGGAACACGUCCUGAGCUGUGCUGGGACGCUGACGUGGCUGGGCCGGGCCAGGCAGCCUUUGUAUUCGCUGUGAAGCUGCUCGGCAUUGCCGGCGCCAGUGAAACAAAGACCGAGCCCAUUGCAGUGUCAGGGAUGGGGUGUGAGUCAUGACCCACUGCAGGACUGUCAGAGGAAGUGCCCAACUGCAUUUUCAUUGUGUUUCAUGGGUUCUUUCUGAUGGAAAUAUUGCCAGUGAAGACAGUUCCCUGUCAGAUGCGCUUGUUCUGGAAGAUGGUAGGUUGUCUGUUUCCCGCGUGAGAGCUUGGAGCCCUGAUUAAACGGGGAUUAAGCUGUGUGUAGCCUGGGACAGCCCAGUGUAAAGCGGGAGCCAGACCAAGAGGGUGCCAGGUUCCCUGCGAUUCUUUCACUUCCCCGCAGUCACCUGUGUGGCUGAGGGUGGGUAGGUGCUACAGAAAGACGUAUCUAUUGGAGUUUUAUUAUGUCCUGUGGCCCCGAGGUAAGCUAAGGUGAUAGCUGCUGAGUGGUGGUCUGCUUUUUUAGGUGCCCCCAAUCCCAUUUUUACCUAAACAGAUAAUUUAAACACCAAGCAUAGUUUCCUUUUGCGUAUUUAUAAAUUUCUGGAGGAAAGAGGUGGACAUUGGUUUGGAUCACAAAGAUUGAAACCGUCUAGGGGACCCUGAGGGCGGCUGGAAGAAAACAAGCCUCUUUUCUUCCUGAGAAAUAGUGAAAGUGAAGGAAAGCUGUCUCUAGAGACUCCUGGUCAGGCCUAGAAAACGGUCUCCGUUCCCGUUGACCUCAAAA
rnacentral:lncRNA from 1 species